AGGAGCAGCAGGAACAGCAACUAGUAACCAGGAUUCUGAAGGAAAAGAGCUUUAGGCCUCAGGAGUAGCAGCACUGAAAAAAGGAAUCCUAGAGAAGACCAAAGAAGCUGGCAAAUAUGGUUAUGCACCGAGCAAAAUAGCUAUUCAGGCUCAACUUUGUCAGGAUAAGGAUAUAUGAGAACUGCAACAUUAAAACAGCGCAAGAUUAAAGAAGAGACAGAAUCAUGAGGAGGAGCCCAUCUAAAAGCAGGGGCAAAGAAUCAUAAG